AUCCAGCUGACGAGUCCCAAAUAGGAGGAAACAUGUCUCCUGAAU
rnacentral:hammerhead_ribozyme from 1 species